ensembl:lncRNA
CCAGCUGGGUUUGAGUCCAUUCAUCUUUGAGUAAAUUGCUGAGAAUUGUGCUGUGAGCAACUGUAUAACCUAUGUGUCCUGGUGACCAAAAUCUGCAGGACAAACAAUUUCUUUGGGAGCCUUCCUCCUUGUGGGGGUUGGGGUGAUCGCUUCCUGCAUAAAACAGGAUUACGACGACGCUGCUGUUUUGCUGUGUGCGUUAAAUGUUGUUGUUGUUGUUCUUUUCUUGGUUGUAGCUAUCCCAAAUAACUCAACGCUGUAUGUGUUGGGCUGUGUGUUUUGGCCUGCCCUCCCAUCAUAGAAUUACCAGCUUUGUGUAAGCAUGUUGAUGUGGUUUCUUUGGUUUUGGAGUGUCUGUUUCCUUUUAUACUGUUUGUGUGUUUUGUUUGGUUGUGCCAUUGUAUGAUUUGUCUUGUUUGGUUGUAUGGUUUCUCUAUUGAUUUGUUUCUUCCUCCGUUUGAUUUUGCUUAUUUUGUAGUUUACUUUCAUAAACUCUCUGCUUUGUUUUUAUUUAUUUUUUGACAACUGACUGUCAACUGAGUAUUGUUUAUUAUUGAUAAUUUAGGAAUGCUUUAGGAAUGAUUAAUUGUUUUCUCUUGUAUUUUAGGCUUCUGAGUAGGGAGGCUAAUUUUAGUACCCUGGUGGUGGCAUUUGGAGCAUGGAGUGAGGAUUGCUGUUUGUGAUCACUCACCUCACAGUGUGUGUGGGUGGGUGGGUCAAGAAUAAUCACUCUACAGCUAGCCUACCCUGCUACAGCUAAGCCUUCGCUGUUCUAGUUAUUUGUCUUGUAUGUGGUGUACUGAGCCAUAGUUGUUUAGCUCAUUUGAGCUAUAUCUUAGUCUGGUUUUUUUUUUUUUUUUUAAGUUUUACCUGAUUAUUGUGAACUUAAUAAACGUUUUGUAUUCUGAUGCCCAUGUCUCUGCCCUCCAUGGUAACAAAUCUGUGUGUCAGUGUUUAGUUCCCCUCACUUGAAAGGGGUGGCGUAGUCAGCAUGAAUAAAUUCUUGUUUUGGUGUUCAUAGUGUAAUUUACGCCUCCGUAGCUACGCUACACAUGCAUAAAUGUAUUAUGUUAUUUUUUUUGUUUAAUAAUAUAAGGUGGAUUAAAAUGUAUCCACUGAGUAAAUCCUCAUGGAACAUGUUUCUAAAAAUAAGUUAAAUUGUCAGAAAUGUGGUGGUGAUGUUGAAGGUGAGUGACUGUGGUGUAGUUCAUUUAUAGACUAA